GACCGUUCGUCUAGCAGGUCAGGACGUUGCCCUUUCACGGCAAAGACAUGGGUUCAAAUCCCAUACGGUUCA
rnacentral:tRNA from 1 species